CCUACGGGAGGCAGCAGUGGGGGAUAUUGCACAAUGGGGGGAACCCUGAUGCAGCGACGCCGCGUGGGUGAAGGAGUGCUUCGGCAUGUAAAGCCCUAUCGGCAGGGAAGAAGCAAGACGGUACCUGACUAAGAAGCCCCGGCUAACUACGUGCCAGCAGCCGCGGUAAUACGUAGGGGGCGAGCGUUAUCCGGAUUCACUGGGUGUAAAGGGAGCGGCGACGGCCAUGCAAGCCAGGGGUGAAAGCCCGGGGCCCAACCCCGGGACUGCCCUUGGAACUGUGCGGCUAGAGUGCGGGAGGGGCAGGCGGAAUUCCUGGUGUAGCGGUGAAAUGCAUAGAUAUCGGGAGGAACACCGGCGGCGAAGGCGGCCUGCUGGACCGCGACUGACGUUGAGGCUCGAAAGCGUGGGGAGCGAACAGGAUUAGAUACCCCAGUAGUC
rnacentral:rRNA from 1 species